rnacentral:rRNA from 1 species
AGCGAACGCUGGCGGCAUGCCUAACACAUGCAAGUCGAACGUGAACGGGGGCAACCCCUAGUAAAGUGGCGUACGGGUGAGUAACACGUAGGUAAUCUACCUUAGAGUCUGGAAUAACCUGCCGAAAGGCGGGCUAAUACUGGAUAGAGCGAUGGAACUCGUAGAGAGUUUUUCGGGAAAGGGAGCUCGCAAGAGCCCUCGCUUUAAGAUGAGCCUGCGUCCCAUCAGCUAGUUGGUAAGGUAACGGCUUACCAAGGCUAUGACGGGUAGCUGGUCUGAGGGAAUGAUCAACCACACUGGAACUGAAACACGGUCCAGACUCCUACGGGAGGCAGCAGUGGGGAAUCUUGCGCAAUGGACGAAAGUCUGACGCAGCCAUGCCGCGUGAGUGAAGAAGGCCUUCGGGUCGUAAAGCUCUGUCGAGCGGGACGAACAUCGGGUGGGUUAAGAGCUAAUCCGACUGACGGUACCGCUAAAGGAAGCACCGGCUAACUCCGUGCCAGCAGCCGCAGUAA